GCUUAACACAUGCAAGUCGAGCGAGAAUCGUUUUGCUGAAGGCUUCGGUCCGAUGCAGAAUGAGGAAAGCGGCGAACGGGUGAGUAACGCGUGGGCAACCUGGCCUUAAGAAAAGGAUAGCCCCCGGAAACAGGGAGUAAUACUUUAUGAGAAUAGAAAAGGCAUCCUGUUUCUAUUCAAAGCGCAAGCGCUUAAGGAUGGGCCCGCGUAUCAUUAGCUAGUUGGUGAGAUAACAGCCCACCAAGGCAACGAUGAUUAGCCGGUCUGAGAGGGCGAACGGCCACAUUGGAACUGAGAGACGGUCCAAACUCCUACGGGAGGCAGCAGUGGGGAAUAUUGCGCAAUGGAGAAGAACUCUGACGCAGCAAUACCGCGUGAGCGAAGAAGGUCUUCGGAUCGUAAAGCUCUGUUAUCAGGGAAGAAGAAAAUGACGGUACCUGAUGAGCAAGUCCCGGCUAACUACGUGCCAGCCGCCGCGGUAAGAC
rnacentral:rRNA from 1 species